UACGUAGGUGGCAAGCGUUGUCCGGAUUUAUUGGGUUUAAAGGGUGCGUAGGCGGCCUUGUAAGUCAGUGCUGAAAUAUCCCGGCUUAACCGGGAGGGUGGAAUUGAUACUGAUGGACUUGAGUAAAGUUGAGGUAGGCGGAAUUGACGGUGUAGCGGUGAAAUGCUUAGAUAUCGUCAAGAACACCGAUAGUGUAGACAGCUUACUAAGCUUUAACUGACGCUGAGGCACGAAAGUGUGGGGAUCAAACAGG
rnacentral:rRNA from 1 species